rnacentral:lncRNA from 1 species
CUUACGAUCCGUGGUGCCUAAAUGAGAUGCCAAUGAAGGUCGAAGAUAGGGAAACUAGAAAAAAGUUAUCAAAAGAUUGUCUGAUAAUUUAUUUAUUAGCUUUUAUAUUACUUUUUAAACUACUAAAAAGAUCUGAAAACACGGAAGGGUGGCGAGGGUGGUCCCCCACAGACGAUCGUGACUACAAUAAAAACCUUUGAGCUGAACAAGUUUUUAAAUACAUACUUAAGAGACAUAGGUCAUUUAUUUAGUUUGAUAAAAUGUAGUUACCGAUAAACUAUGUUCGGGUUAUUUAUAACAACAUGUUUACGUUGAAAUUUUGGUGCUAGCCAACGGGCUCAUUCAAGUUUUGUACGCGAUCACCCCGCGACAAAAAUACGAGUUACGCGCGGAAUUUAAUGAGUUUGUUUUAUGUGUAAAAUAUAAUUAGUUACAAAAGUUUUUACUGAGAAAAUUGUUUACGCACCUAGAAUUUUAUUAGGGACUUGUUUACCGGCACAGGGUCGAGUAUAAAAAGACUGGAGCUAUUUAUUUUCCAACCAUUAGAUGAGGGAACAUCUACGGAGUGUUAUACUUAUUUAAGUUUCCCCGAGGUUCUUCACAGUGAUAAAUCGCGUACCUACUUACCAACAAGAUGCAAGGCAAAUACUUUCUUGUAGUGCUAAUGAUAUCGCUGAACCACCACAUUGCUUCAUCGCACAUCUUAACAUCGGCGUACAUGGACAUGUCUCUACCAACUUGUAUGAGAAUACUAACGUACACUGUGAUGAACGAUUUGUGCCCCACAUACGGAGCUUAUGGCGACUACUCUUCCGAAGAAGUCAACAUGCAGCCAAUCCCCAAGGAACUGACAUUAAGACAAUGGGAGCAUAGAGAAAGCGUCAUCAAAAAGUGUUGUACAAAGCCUUGUUCCUUGCCAGAACUAUUGUCGGCUUGCUAAUGCAUUCGAUCUAUUUAGUAACAAAAUACCGCGAUUAUCACGAUCUAGGUUAAUAUUAAAUUAUUUUAUGUUUGAUGUUUAAGGACUAGUUAGUAGGCUAGAGAAAACUUUCAAUGUUGAACUUCCCAAUCUUCUCAAAGGCUCAUUGGUUCAUUUUCUAUUGAGAAGUAGAUAUCUCACAGAUACAUAAAACUGUAUGGAAAUUCCAGCAGAUGUCGCCACUAAUCGUAACUAGCACACCCACAUAUUAACAUACGUUUGUGCUAUAAUUUAUGUCUAAUAAAUAAAAGCUUUCACUUAAGGAACUCCUUGAGAAAUAAGUUAAUGUGAAAGAAAUCUGUUAUUUGAAGAAAUCUAUGGAUAUUGAUUGACAUUCGUGUAUUAUAAGCUUUAUUUACUGUGUCUGACAACGCUGCUUUAAAUCACAUUGCCCACCAAUUUAAUAUUUAUUUUAAUUAGAAUAACUAGUUGCGUACCUAAUUUUCAAUUUUAGUUUUUAAGUUUUAAUUAAUAUGUUUAUUUUUAGUUUCAAUGACUGUUGUAAAUUAUAUUAUACUGAAAGAAUAAUGUAUUUU